GGGCUAGUUUCAGAUUCGAUUGCGGGUGGAGAAUGAGAAAAGCAUACCAAAGGCUCGGCUUUGUAAAAACGGAAACUUAAAUUUAAAUGCAGAAUCAAAAGAUUCAAAAGUCGUAGCUUUCCCCUCGUUCAGAGGUGCAAGCAUGGCUUGCGCUGCUUAACUUAAAAGCGGUCCGUCGCACCUUUUUCACCGUCGGAAAGGUUGCGGCGCUAUCAAGACGGUAAACUUUCACCGCGUUUUACCGCGCGCGGUAAAAGCAAUUUUUGCGGUAUGCUCGGCAAUCUCGCCUUCCGUCGGCACGUUGCCGCUAAGAUAAUAGGCGGAUAAGUAUGUAGAAAGCUCAGACAAAACUUGUAAGACUCGGGUGCAAGUCCCGACUGGUCCACCA
rnacentral:tmRNA from 1 species